rnacentral:rRNA from 1 species
AGUGGGGAAUAUUGCGCAAUGGGCGAAAGCCUGACGCAGCGACGCCGCGUGGGUGAAGAAGGCCUUUGGGUUGUAAAGCCCUGUCACCUUGGACGAAGGACUGCGAGGCGAACAGUCUCGCAGGGUGACGGUACAAGGGGAGGAAGCCCCGGCUAACUACGUGCCAGCAGCCGCGGUAAGACGUAGGGGGCGAGCGUUGUCCGGAAUUACUGGGCGUAAAGCGCGUGUAGGCGGGCGCUUAAGUCGGGUGUGAAAACCCUGGGCUCAACCGAGGGAAUGCACUCGAAACUGGGCGUCUUGAGGGCGGGAGAGGGAAGUGGAAUUCCUGGUGUAGCGGUGAAAUGCGUAGAUAUCAGGAGGAACACCAGUGGCGAAGGCGGCUUUCUGGCCCGUGCCUGACGCUGAGACGCGAAAGCGUGGGGAGCAAACAGGAUUAGAUACCCUGGUAGUCCACGCUGUAAACGAUGGGCACUAGGUGUAGGAGGUAUCGACCCCUUCUGUGCCGCAGCUAACGCAUUAAGUGCCCCGCCUGGGGAGUACGACCGCAAGGUUGAAACUCAAAGGAAUUGACGGGGGCCCGCACAAGCGGUGGAGCAUGUGGUUUAAUUCGACGCAACGCGAAGAACCUUACCAGGGCUUGACAUCUGCGGAACCUGGUGGAAACACUGGGGUGCCUCUAAUGGGGAGCCGCAAGACAGGUGGUGCAUGGUUGUCGUCAGCUCGUGUCGUGAGAUGUUGGGUUAAGUCCCGCAACGAGCGCAACCCCUACUGCUAGUUGCUAACGGGUAAAGCCGAGGACUCUAGCGGAACUGCCGGUGACAAACCGGAGGAAGGUGGGGAUGACGUCAAAUCAUCAUGCCCUUUAUGCCCUGGGCUACACACGUGCUACAAUGGCCAGUACAGAGGGUAGCGAACCCGCGAGGGGGAGCCAAUCCCAAAAAGCUGGUCUCAGUUCGGAUUGCAGGCUGCAACUCGCCUGCAUGAAGGCGGAAUCGCUAGUAAUCGCCGGUCAGCAUACGGCGGUGAAUACGUUCCCGGGCCUUGUACACACCGCCCGUCACACCACGAGAGCUGGCAACACCCGAAGCCGGUGGGCUAACCCGAAAGGGAGGCAGCCGUCGAAGGUGGGGCUGGUGAUUGGGGUG